UACGUAGGGCGCAAGCGUUAUCCGGAAUUAUUGGGCGUAAAGAGCUCGUAGGCGGUUUGUCGCGUCUGCCGUGAAAGUCCGGGGCUCAACUCCGGAUCUGCGGUGGGUACGGGCAGACUAGGAGUGAUGUAGGGGAGACUGGAAUUCCUGGUGUAGCGGUGAAAUGCGCAGAUAUCAGGAGGAACACCGGUGGCGAAGGCGGGUCUCUGGGCAGUAACUGACGCUGAGGAGCGAAAGCGUGGGGAGCGAACAGG
rnacentral:rRNA from 1 species